GAUGAACGCUGGCGGCGUGCCUAAUACAUGCAAGUCGAGCGAACGGACGAGAAGCUUGCUUCUCUGAUGUUAGCGGCGGACGGGUGAGUAAUACGUGGAUAACCUACCUAUAAGACUGGGAUAACUUCGGGAAACCGGAGCUAAUACCGGAUGAUAUUUUGAACCGCAUGGUUCAAAAGUGAAAGACGGUCUUGCUGUCACUUAUAGAUGGAUCCGCGCUGCAUUAGCUAGUUGGUAAGGUAACGGCUUACCAAGGCAACGAUGCAUAGCCGACCUGAGAGGGUGAUCGGCCACACUGGAACUGAGACACGGUCCAGACUCCUACGGGAGGCAGCAGUAGGGAAUCUUCCGCAAUGGGCGAAAGCCUGACGGAGCAACGCCGCGUGAGUGAUGAAGGUCUUCGGAUCGUAAAACUCUGUUAUUAGGGAAGAACAUAUGUGUAAGUAACUGUGCACAUCUUGACGGUACCUAAUCAGAAAGCCACGGCUAACUACGUGCCAGCAGCCGCGGUAAUACGUAGGUGGCAAGCGUUAUCCGGAAUUAUUGGGCGUAAAGCGCGCGUAGGCGGUUCUUUAAGUCUGAUGUGAAAGCCCACGGCUCAACCGUGGAGGGUCAUUGGAAACUGGAAAACUUGAGUGCAGAAGAGGAAAGUGGAAUUCCAUGUGUAGCGGUGAAAUGCGCAGAGAUAUGGAGGAACACCAGUGGCGAAGGCGACUUUCUGGUCUGUAACUGACGCUGAUGUGCGAAAGCGUGGGGAUCAAACAGGAUUAGAUACCCUGGUAGUCCACGCCGUAAACGAUGAGUGCUAAGUGUUAGGGGGUUUCCGCCCCUUAGUGCUGCAGCUAACGCAUUAAGCACUCCGCCUGGGGAGUACGACCGCAAGGUUGAAACUCAAAGGAAUUGACGGGGACCCGCACAAGCGGUGGAGCAUGUGGUUUAAUUCGAAGCAACGCGAAGAACCUUACCAAAUCGUGACAUCCUUUGACAACUCUAGAGAUAGAGCCUUCCCCUUCGGGGGACAAAGUGACAGGUGGUGCAUGGUUGUCGUCAGCUCGUGUCGUGAGAUGUUGGGUUAAGUCCCGCAACGAGCGCAACCCUUAAGCUUAGUUGCCAUCAUUAAGUUGGGCACUCUAAGUUGACUGCCGGUGACAAACCGGAGGAAGGUGGGGAUGACGUCAAAUCAUCAUGCCCCUUAUGAUUUGGGCUACACACGUGCUACAAUGGACAAUACAAAGGGCAGCGAAACCGCGAGGUCAAGCAAAUCCCAUAAAGUUGUUCUCAGUUCGGAUUGUAGUCUGCAACUCGACUACAUGAAGCUGGAAUCGCUAGUAAUCGUAGAUCAGCAUGCUACGGUGAAUACGUUCCCGGGUCU
rnacentral:rRNA from 1 species